rnacentral:lncRNA from 1 species
AGAGACUGGGUCCUGAGUUGCUCCUUCCAGACACUGAUUGUUCCCUUGGCUUUCUUUACAUGCUUGCUGUGGGUCCUACUGUCUGUGGGUUAGUGCUCAAACCUGUGCUCAAUGUAUCAGCUUGUACACGUGUCUGGGGCUGUGCAACUUAAUUGUCAGUGGUUCCAUGACUAUCAUAGAUCCAUUGUUCAGCCUAGAGAAACCGAGGAGCAGAAGGUAGCUAGCGUCUGGACAAAUCCCAUUGGUGUCCACCCCACUGAGCGAUUGACCUCAGUGUCCCGCCUCCCCAAGGGGCGUAGCAGACAGGCCUGUUUGGGGGUUAUCUGUAGAGUGUGUAGAUCCAACUUCUCCCUUUGGAAGGUCCCACAAUCCUGGAAGGCAAGUCCCUGCCCCUUACCUCGUCCUAAUUUGGAGGACAAGAGAAUGUGCGUGGAAGGAACCCUCCCAUCUGCCCCAGGACACUACACAAGCAACCACAAUAUAAACUAGGCCUUGCUCUUAUUUGUCUUGCUCAAAUCCUACCCGUUUCCCACCCCGAGUCCCGGGUUCCAAUCUGCCCCCACUUCGGCGCUGCGGACACUCACCACGCCACUCGAGGGUCGGUUCCUGGGUGUGAGUCAAAUCUUGGGCGCUGCCCCGGUGAACCCCCAGCAGCAGCAGCUGCAGCCAGAGCAGCUGCAGCAUCGCUAACCACUGCACCAUCAGGUACGCUAGGUGACACCCACGGGGACCAGAACCGUGUCCCCUGCUCUGGACUAGACUGCAGGAGGCAAGAAGAGAAGCUACCACUCUUCUCGAGGACCUCGCCACCCUGGAGCCCUGGGGAUGAACUCGCCUCCCUUGUCGCCA